rnacentral:rRNA from 1 species
AACAAACGCUGGCGGCAUGCCUAACACAUGCAAGUCGAACGAGACCUUCGGGUCUAGUGGCGCACGGGUACGUAACGCGUGGAAUCUGCCCUGGGGUGCGGAAUAACUCGGAGAAAUCCGUGCUAAUACCGCAUAAUGUCUUCGGACCAAAGAUUUAUCGCCCUGGGAUGAGCCCGCGUAGGAUUAGCUAGUUGGUGGGGUAAAAGGCCUACCAAGGCGACGAUCCUUAGCUGGUCUGAGAGGAUGAUCAGCCACACUGGGACUGAGACACGGCCCAGACUCCUACGGGAGGCAGCAGUGGGGAAUAUUGGACAAUGGGCGAAAGCCUGAUCCAGCAAUGCCGCGUGAGUGAUGAAGGCCCUAGGGUUGUAAAGCUCUUUUACCCGGGAUGAUAAUGACAGUACCGGGAGAAUAAGCUCCGGCUAACUCCGUGCCAACAGCCGCGGUAAU